rnacentral:ribozyme from 1 species
UGCCCAGCAACUCCUAUCCCUACCUCCUCGCGGCACCUCGCGGAAACUAUGAGCAACCUUAGGGAAGAUCGGGUAACCAACCCCGGUGGGAACUUUGGGAAACGUAGGCUGACAGGGAAGG